rnacentral:rRNA from 1 species
UCCGCCAGGGUACUACGAGCACAGCUUAAAACCCAAAGGACUUGGCGGUGUCUCAGACCCACCUAGAGGAGCCUGUUCUAGAACCGAUAACCCCCGUUAAACCUCACCACUCCUUGUUUUACCCGCCUAUAUACCGCCGUCGUCAGCUUACCCUGUGAAGGCACAACAGUAAGCAAAAUAGAUUCACCCAAAAACGUCAGGUCGAGGUGUAGCGUACGAAGUGGAAAGAAAUGGGCUACAUUUUCUUAACACUAAGAAAAUUACGAACGGCACACUGAAAAUAGUGCCCGAAGGUGGAUUUAGUAGUAAAAAGCAAG